rnacentral:rRNA from 1 species
GGAUUAGAUACCCUGGUAGUCCACGCCCUAAACGAUGUGUGCUAGUUGUUAGUCCCUUAGGAAUUAGUGGCGCAGCUAACGCGAUAAGUUCUCCGCCUGGGGAGUACGGCCGCAAGGUUAAAACUCAAAUGAAUUGACGGGGGCCCGCACAAGCGGUGGAGCAUGUGGUUUAAUUCGAAGCAACGCGAAGAACCUUACCUGGCCUUGACAUCCAGAGAACUUGGUAGAGAUACCUUGGUGCCUUCGGGAGCUCUGAGACAGGUGCUGCAUGGCUGUCGUCAGCUCGUGCUG